UCUGGCCUGCCMAUGAAUGUUUAGUUGAAUGGCCGCGGUAUCUUGACCGUGCAAAGGUAGCAUAAUCAUUAGUUUUUUAAUUGAAAGCUGGUAUGAAGGGUUUUAUGAAAAAAUUUCUGUCUCUGGGAAAGUUUAUUAGAAUUUUAUUUUUAAGUGAAAAAGCUUAAAUAUUUAUAGAAGACGAGAAGACCCUAUAGAGUUUUAUAUUUAAACUAAAAACAUUAUUUUAGGUUUUAAAAAUUAAUUUUUAGCUUAAAUAUUUUAUUGGGGUGAUAAGAAAAUUUAUUAAACUUUUCUUAAUUUUAAACAUUUAUUUAUGAGCAAAUGAUCCUAAAAUUUAGAUUAAAAGAUUAAAUUACCUUAGGGAUAACAGCGUGAUUUUUCUUAGAGUUCUUAUCAAAAGAAGGGAUUGCGACCUCGAUGUUGGAUUAAAAUAAAUUAUUGGUGUAGAAGCUAAUAAAUUAAGUCUGUUCGACUUUUAAAAUUUUACAUGAUCUGAGUUUAAACCGGUGUGAGCCAGGUCG
rnacentral:rRNA from 1 species